CAGCUGCUAUUCUGCAGUAACAAUAUUGAGAGUGGGGAAUGUUUAGGAGAAGCAUAAAAAUGUCACUGCUCAAUUGUUUUAUAGAGCUCGCAUGCCUCAGCUUUGCCGCAUAGGAGCCCAGCUGAAUGUUUGCCACGAGCUUGGAAGCAGGUCUUUAGGCCAUGGGAUCUCCUAUCUUUAAAAGACCUUGGCACCAGUGGUAUUAAUGCAACCUCUGCUGGCUGUGGUUGCGUGGAGAUGAAGCCUGAAGUCCCUGCUGUUGCCCUACAACAUGAGUAUAAUUAAGGAUGCAGUGGAACGAAAGCAGCCGCACCAUCCGAGAGAGGUGUUUUCCUGCAACCAGUGGCAUCGAGUUCCCGCCUGGAGAACCCCAAGAUGGCAGCCGGUCUCUGGAUGCCUAUUUCUUCAAGGCAACUUGAUCCUAAGUUCUUGAUCCUACCAAUGGGACUGGCAGGAAUUGGUGUGGCCAACAGAGAUUAUCUUCCAAUUUCACUUCCAUUGACACUGAAAACUAAUUUUUCAGAUAUGUCUCCCUUGUAUGUCUCUACAAACAAAAGAAGAGAUGGUGACAGCUUGUUCUAGGGAGAAGAUUUCAAAUUGCUCAGCUACUUUCCUCUUUUUUUCACUUACCCAUACAUUUGUUACAGCAAAAUAUAACUGAACAUUCUAGUUUGAAAUACCCUGACAUGUUCAGUCACAGUUGUAUGCUGGCUGGGAAGAUCUACGUAUCCUAUGAUGUAAAGCUAUUUAUGACAAAGCAUAAGAUUGUGAGAUUUCCAUGACUCUAUUCAGCUAUCACAUGCUUACAUUUAUUCCCACAAAACCACUCACAUCCCACUCUGCAUUAGCAAAUGUUUAGACUUCAGCGAACACACCUCCAUUAGUGUUUCAGUUUGGAUAAGGCAGGCAGUUCUCAAAUUAAAGAGGCUUUAAUUUGGUGGGGCUUGUAUGAUACCUUAUUCUGGUUUGCAGAAGCAGGGUCAAACAAGUUCCCUUCAGAUGAGCUGGGAGUGCUGUCACAUGAAAUGCACACAGUGGGCUCAGUCUGCUUGCCAGGAUGGGAUACAGGCUUGCUGGGACCACACUGGUAUAGCAGGCUAAGGUGAAUAAUUUGGAUACAUUGGGGUAGGACAGCUUUAGAUCAUCACGCUAACUUUGGAAUAUUAGAUAAAAAUAUGAAAGACUUCAGAUAUUCUGACUACGAAAGACCUUCCUUUCAGGAAUCUUACAAUAUUCCUGCAGUUAUAAUUGUCUACAUUCUUUAUGCUUUUUGAAUGGAUAAUAAUAGUUUUGCAAGUAAAAUUGUAAAAUCUUGAGUUUAUGAACAAGACAACUUAAGUUUCCAAUUUUAACUUCUCUGGAUAGUUCCCAUGGUUUUAUGGAAAGAAAGAAGCAAGCUUCUACAAAAUACCUAGAGAUAUUUCACAGUGUUUCCUAUAGGUUUUGGGAAUCAAGUCUUUGUAGAUCUGUUCAAACAGAUCUAAAAUUAACAGUAUUCCUUUUUUUUUUUUUCUUAAUUCACUCAUUCCAUUAAUAUAACUUAGUGACUUGCAUCAGAAAACUGUUUCCUGUACAAAAUAAU
rnacentral:lncRNA from 1 species